GCCUGGGUGGCUCAGUCGGUUAAGCGUCCGACUUCAGCUCAGGUCAUGAUCCCGUGGUCUGUGGGUUCGAGCCCCGCGUCGGGCU
rnacentral:tRNA from 1 species